rnacentral:rRNA from 1 species
GACGAACGCUGGCGGCGUGCUUAACACAUGCAAGUCGAACGGAAAGGCCCUGCUUGCAGGGUACUCGAGUGGCGAACGGGUGAGUAACACGUGGGUGAUCUGCCCUGCACUUCGGGAUAAGCCUGGGAAACUGGGUCUAAUACCGGAUAGGAGCCAUUUUUAGUGUGAUGGUUGGAAAGUUUUUUCGGUGUAGGAUGAGCUCGCGGCCUAUCAGCUUGUUGGUGGGGUAAUGGCCUACCAAGGCGGCGACGGGUAGCCGGCCUGAGAGGGUGGACGGCCACAUUGGGACUGAGAUUCGGCCCAGACUCCUACGGGAGGCAGCAGUGGGGAAUAUUGCACAAUGGGCGCAAGCCUGAUGCAGCGACGCCGCGUGGGGGAUGACGGCCUUCGGGUUGUAAACUCCUUUCGCUAGGGACGAAGCUUUUUGUGACGGUACCUAGAUAAGAAGCACCGGCUAACUACGUG